CCACCACAGCCCAUCCUUGACAUGGCAUUUCACCAGACGCAUGAGACGGUUGCAUUUUGCGCAUUUCAUCGUCGUCGUCAGGAUACCACGUUUCUGCGUCCAUUUCACAAUUUUCCUUCUGCUCUUGUGUGUAUUUGAACGUCUAAUAUGUUUUAAAAGUUCUUCCAUCAGUGUCAUUGCAUCAACAACUAGUCACCCGUCUCUGAUCCGCGCCCGCGCCUUUUUUUUAAGUCGGUAUGUCAGUCUUCUUCUCGUCGCUCAAUGCUCCAUCAACAAGACAGAACAGCGCCCCCACGUGUGUCUACUGGGGAACUGCACCUGUAUUCGUGAAAAAAGUUAUGAGAUUUCAAACGUAGUUGGCUUUUCUAAAUAUAAAACUAAUUAAAACUAACACAUGUAUUAAUAUUUCAUCACUGUUUACAAGUGUUGUUGAAUUUGAACUGAAUGCGCGCGUAACGUAACGUUUACGUAACGUGACUAUCCACAUGAGUAGAUCCCAACGCGACGUGACGGACAUGCCAGCAGUGAAACACACUGCUCAACAGUCUGGAAGUUUCCUACUUCAGCCAGAUGGACACCCGUUUCAGCAAACGUGGCAGGAAGGCUGAGGAUAAUGAAGCUAACCCCAAGCUGCUACACGCUGUGGAAGAGGACCUGGCACAAGAAUGUGAAGAGGUCCCUAUUCAUCCAAAGAAAAAAAAGCUAAUCAAAUAUUCCCCAAGGAAAACCAUGUCUCCAACAGGUGCAUUGGAGUUGGCCAAACUGAAGGAACAAACCAAGAUGGACCGACAGAAGAUAGAACACCUUGAGGAGCGCAUUAAUUACCUGGAGGAGGCCAUCAAGGACCUGAAAGCUGACAAGGACGUCCUACUUGCCAAAAUUAAGGAAGCUCCCAGCACACUUACAUCUUCUGGGAAAGGCAGAAAGACUGCUCCAGAACCUUCUUCAUCUUCGACUUCAACAUCGACAUCUCCCUCCUCAGACUCCAGCUUCUUAUUAUCCUCAGAAGAAGAGAAGAAAAAGAAAAGGAAGAAGUCCAAGAAAAAGACCAUUAAGUCAAAAAAACACACUGAAUCAUACAGCGGUUCAAGAAGCAGGUAAGAAAGGACAUUACUUCCUGGGCAUUCUCCUUCGAGGCUGGUGAAGGCAGAUAUUGCUAGCCACAGAGUCAGAUGGAGUGAUCCGUCGCUAUAAGGAUGUCCUUCGUAUCUUCAAAAAGUGUGGAUCCAUGAAGAAAGCCUUUGUGAAAAUGAAUGUUGAUCGAAACACAAUUGCACGCACAGCUAUAAUUGCUUAGCUAGCAAUGUUUUGUGUUGAAAUACAUAAAGGAAAAACUAUCUCUUGACUUGUCUGUUGCUUUUGUUAAGGUAUUAUUAUCAUCUGACAGUGUAAUAACACUUAAUUACAUUUUAACGAAACAUUCAAAUCGUUCCACUUUACUUGAAUUCAAAGAAAACAGUCAUGACACUUAUAAACUGGUUUUACUAAGUAAUUAC
ensembl:lncRNA